rnacentral:siRNA from 1 species
AGUAAAAACAAUUAGUUUUGAUGC